AUACGGAGGAUCCGAGCGUUAUCCGGAUUUAUUGGGUUUAAAGGGUGCGCAGGCGGCCAUUUAAGUCAGCGGUUAAAUCGUGGGGCUCAACCCCAUUCUGCCGUUGAUACUGGGUGGCUUGAUUGCGGUCGAGGUUGGCGGAAUUCGUUGUGUAGCGGUGAAAUGCAUAGAUAUGACGAAGAACACCGAUUGCGUAGGCAGCUGACCAGACCGCAAAUGACGCUCAUGCACGAAAGUGCGGGGAUCGAGCAGGAUUAGAUACCCUGGUAGUCCGCACAGUAAACGAUGAAUACUUGUUUUCGGCGAUAUAAUGUCGGAGGCAAAGCGAAAGCGAUAAGUAUUCCACCUGGGGAGUACGCCGGCAACGGUGAAACUCAAAGGAAUUGGCGGGG
rnacentral:rRNA from 1 species